GUACACACCGCCCGUCAAGCCACGAAAGAUCGGGGGGGGCCAAGUCGCCGCGCUAACCGCAAGGAGGCAGGCGCCUAACCCUCAACGGUCAAUUGGGACUAAGUCGUAACAAGGUWUCCGUAGGUGAACCUGCAGAAGGAUCA
rnacentral:rRNA from 1 species